rnacentral:rRNA from 1 species
AUUGAACGCUGGCGGCAUGCCUUACACAUGCAAGUCGAACGCGAAAGCGGGGCAGCCCGCAAGUAGAGUGGCGAACGGGUGAGUAAUACAUCGGAACGUGUCCAGUAGCGGGGGAUAACCUCUCGAAAGAGAGGCUAAUACCGCAUACGUCCUACGGGAGAAAGAGGGGGAUCGCAAGACCUCUCACUAUUGGAGCGGCCGAUGUCGGAUUAGCUAGUUGGUGAGGAAAAGCUCACCAAGGCGACGAUCCGUAGCUGGUCUGAGAGGACGGCCAGCCACACUGGAACUGAGACACGGUCCAGACUCCUACGGGAGCAGCAGUGGGGAAUUUUGGACAAUGGGCGCAAGCCUGAUCCAGCCAUGCCGCGUGAGUGAAG